rnacentral:rRNA from 1 species
CCUACGGGCGGCAGCAGUGGGGAAUAUUGGACAAUGGGCGAAAGCCUGAUCCAGCCAUGCCGCGUGUGUGAAGAAGGCCUUCGGGUUGUAAAGCACUUUCAGUGGGGAAGAAAGCCUUGGGGCUAAUACCCGCUAGGAAGGACAUCACCCACAGAAGAAGCACCGGCUAACUCCGUGCCAGCAGCCGCGGUAAUACGGAGGGUGCGAGCGUUAAUCGGAAUUACUGGGCGUAAAGCGCGCGUAGGCGGUCUGAUAAGCCGGUUGUGAAAGCCCCGGGCUCAACCUGGGAACGGCAUCCGGAACUGUCAGGCUAGAGUGCAGGAGAGGUAGGUAGAAUUCCCGGUGUAGCGGUGAAAUGCGUAGAGAUCGGGAGGAAUACCAGUGGCGAAGGCGGCCUUCUGGACUUAGACUGACGCUGAGGUGCGAAAGCGUGGGUAGCAAACAGGAUUAGAUACCCCUGUAGUC